CAGUAGCCGCGGGAAUACGAAGGGAGCAAGCGUUACUCGGAAUUACUGGGCGUAAAGCGUGCGUAGGUGGUGGUUUAAGUCCGUUGUGAAAUCCCCGGGCUCAACCUGGGAACUGCAUUUGUGACUGGCAAGCUAGAGUCUGGCAGAGGGGGGUGGAAUUCCGCGUGUAGCAGUGAAAUGCGUAGAUAUGCGGAGGAACACCGAUGGCGAAGGCAGCCCCCUGGGCCAACACUGACGCUCAUGCACGAAAGCGUGGGGAGCAAACAGGAUUAGAUACCCCGGUAGUCCCUGUCUCUUAUAC
rnacentral:rRNA from 1 species